CUCCCCAAUCCCCGCACCCCCACACGCUCGUACCAGCGGCGCCGCUCCCGCGCCCGCGACGUGCUCCACCAGCGGCGCCUCUCCCCCGCUCCCGCGCCCGCGACGCGCUCCACCGGCGGCACCCCGAAACACCAACGCCGGCACGAUGCGCUCCUGCACGCGUCCAAGGCCAGCGACGCUCCCGACUGCCAUGGAUAUGACGAGAGAGCUGGGAACAGGCGGGAGAAGAAGGGGAAAUCGCCGCCAUUAGCAAGGACGAAGCUCGCUCGAGGGAUUGGGGAGCCGCGCUUCCAAUUGAGCCGCCGCCGCCGCCUGUUGCCUGCGCGUAUCUCUUUCUCUCUCUCUUAUAGCAACCUUGCUUUGGAGGGAGGAGCACGGAGUGUGCAAUCUUCUCCUAAAGGUGAAUUGCUCCUCUGCCUCCUCGAGGUUGAGGUAACAGUGGUGCCAAACUCCCCUUCUUUGAUUUAACGCCUGGAACAUCUCAUCUUUCUUUGUAUAGAUCCGUUUUAUCUUUGCAUAUAAGGUGUUUGAUGAAAAUCCUAGAUAAGAUUUGUGCAUAUUUAUGCUCCCUCUAGCUGUUUUUAAACCAUAAUGCUAAUACUACUAAUAAUGAUGAUUUUAGAAGUCAUCUCAUAACCAUAAAGCAAAUAUCAUUAAGAAUGAACUUACUGAGACAUUCCCUUGAGCCUGCUCUUCUUUGCUAUGAUAUAAAGAGAACCACAUAAGGGAAAGGCAGGGGAAAGGUGCAAUGAGUUUUUGCUGCUUUGUGAAAAAGACAUCCACCAUUCCAUUCCAUUCAUUGUUUCAUAUGUGCACAUUCCAUUCACUGUUUUGUUCUUUUAAUUAGCGCAGAUUUGUAAAUAGCUUCCAAAACAAACCAUGGAUAAAAGUGGAAACUCAUAGAUGAAAUUUGUUUGCAGCGUCUUGCUGAGCUGGGAUGGAAGAUUUAUCAUAUUCUUGCACUAAGAUGCUUGCAUAAUCCUGCAACAGGGUCCUCUUUCAGUUCUUGAGGGUGAUCUGCACAAAAAAUUUGCAAAUGGAUGUAGUGACUAAUAUAAGCUACAGAAGAGUUGUUGCUGAAACUGUGUAUCCUCUGUACACGUUGCCGGGAAUGUGUCUGUGGAGCGAGAAGGGCUCUAAUCCGGCGUUUUUUGGUCAACUGCUCUUAUGAGCCCUCCAUCGCGCACAAAUGUGGAUUCUUCAACUGGAUCUCCAUGCAAGUUGAGCAUGAGGCAAAGAGGGUAUGCCAUUGCUGACCUACAGUUAAUCGAAUUGUCUAUCUCUCCUUGUCAAGUUACCGUGUUCAGGUUUGCAUUUAUAGGAAGCCAAAUUUAUUUCUGUUGACUGAGAACUAUCAUCUGAUGUUGCAAGCAUAAUUUUUUUACCAGGUAAACAAGACUGACAAGAGUUAUUUGAUUUAAGUGCAAAUAUAUAUCUCUCUUAUCCAAAUAUGCUCUUUGUUGUUGAGAUUUUUCUAUUACAGCUUCAGUUCGUCAUGUUUCUCAGAAAAGCUGACUUAAGCAAGGCAUGAGAUGGUAGUUUUUUCCAGAUUUUUUCGUGUAUACUCGCAUAAUUUUGUCCUAUGUUUAUGUUGUGUACCAAACUCAAUUUAAAGGUGAUUUCAGUCUGUAGUUGAGCAUUCUUUUUGUCGUACCUUCCAUACUCUUUAUGCCACAUAAAGAGCAUUAGAUCUAGGUCCCGCCCCUGCACGGAUCUCCAAUCUAAGCUACAUCAACUACUUUGUCACUGUUCUGGUUUGCCAGCACAUGCAGCAAGGAUAGGUAGAGGAACUCUGUCUGCUGCUAAGUUGAAUUAGCUAGCGAUUUUCCACUCUGUUAGUUAUCAGCCCAUACGCCAGGUAUUUUCUGUCCUUCGAACAUUCUAAUACGAAUUACACGGAAUAUUUGUUGCCCACUCGUUCACAUUAGGUGUUGCUUAUAUCAUCGCUUAGGAACUAUGCGGAGCUAAACCACUGAGAUUAUGUUAUACUAUAUCGUACGCCAAGUUUUUCGUAACACAUGCAGCACGGGUAAAUUAUUUGGAACAAACUUCAGUCUCUUAUGUAUCUGCUGCAGCUUGUACUUAAAAUAUUUAAUACUCUCUGCUUUUACUCUAUUGGUUUCUACCGAUUUAAUAUGUCGGAGGUUUGCUUCCUACAAAAGUAUGUGCCUGAUAAAACCAUGCGGUGUACAGAUUAGCAUGCUACUAGACAACAUAAUUCUUAUUCUAGCUAACUUGUCUUUUAUUUUUAACUUCCAUCCACUCUUUUCACAGUUUAUAUAGCACGAUUUUUGUCGGACCUUAUCAGUGUGUAGUGCUUACGAAGCAGUAAGCAUUUCGUUUCUCAUCUAUUUGCAUCGUCAUAAGGAUUGUUGUACUGCUGUCGAGCAGAUAUGGGAUUGAUGGGAUCUUAGACGACUACAAGCAGUACCUGACCACCUCCUACAACUGGUUGUACAGCUAUGGCAGAUGCAGGUUUAGACCCUGAAUCUUCGCAGAGAAUAUAAGAGUAUAUGAUGACCUACAGGCCUGGAUAGCAAGAUAUAGAGCAGUGUCAAGGGAUGACCUCCAGGAGGCUAUUAAAAGUGCUUUCACUUGAUGAAAACGGGAACCAAGUACAGAAACAAGGAACAAAAUGUACCAGGAAUUGCUUUAUAAUCUCCAAACAACAUAUAGUAGGACUUGCUUCGUGUGUGGGCAGGAAAAGUUUCUGCUCUUUCAUGGAAUGUGCGCUGCUGUUCAAAGUGUGCGCUUUUGUACAGAUGCAAUCUCAAGGUUGAUAUAUAAUCUCUAUGUGAUAUGCAUGUUGGUGGUAUACAUAAUUGGUGAGACCCCCCAUAAGGCUCCUCCGAUCUCAGCGCAUGAUGGCCCUCUGAUUGAGCUCCCAGCAGAUCCCAGCCAUCUUUUUCACUGCGUGGAUCUGAGGUGAGCCAUUGUAUCUGUAAAACAAGUUGAUCCAUCCCAGUUCAUGUAUAUAUAAAAAGUGUUUUUUUUUCAAAAAAGAACUUGAAAGAUCAUCAGAUCAUGUGAUACUUAAUAUGAUAAGUAAAAUGUCUACUAUUGAUGUAAUGCAUUCUCUGUUUAACAAUAUAUGAAUUACACUGCUACAUUGAAUUUUUAGUUCUCCCCUUUUUUAUUAAUAAGCUUUUUUUGAGCCGGCGGUUGUUUAUGUUGAGGAUUGUCAUUGAUCUGUGGUUGUGGCAUUGGGGAUACCAUUACUACGACCAGGUCAUUGAACUUUCUAUCUUGCCCAUUGAUCAUCGGUUCUUUGAAAUUAAUUUUUCAACAUGCUCAAGUGAAGAUUGCUAGCUGGCCUCUCUACUCUGACCUACUGCCAUCAAUCUAGAAUUCAGCAGCGGGGUGACAUUGAAUCCAUGCUGCCAUGAGCUGCAGCGAUAAAGAUAGAAUAUGGACCCGGGGCACGUGGAGAGCAUAGGGGAACAUAAAACAGGCCAGGCUAGCUCAUUAAAUUAGUUCAGAUUUCAGUAUGUAUCCAACAACAUCAAAUGAUGCUUUUGUUAGCACCAUUGAUGAUUUCUUAAUGACAUGUUGUCAUACUAAAUUUCUGAACCCCCUGGGUUUUAAAAGCUUUAUUAGGAUUAAAGAUUAUACUAGAGAGCAAGUCCAAUCAUAGUCGUUUACUUAUAUGGUUCGAUGCAUUGUAUGUACAGAUCUUUGACUUGUCUCAGCCAAUUAUCUUCUAUCGAUUGUUUUAUUUGUCCUAGAAUAUAUCCAUGCUCACUGGGAUUAAGAGAAAUUUUUUUUGGACCAUUUUCAGAUUCUCAAAAUGUCACGUGUCCUACAAGUAUUUCUAGGGAAAUAAGGAUACAUGGGUUAUUUAAGUAAAUUCUUGCAUCUAUACUUGCAAGUAUCUGUAUUCUUGGUAUCUUCCUGUACAUUCUUGCAUAUAUGUUUCCGAGUCACAGCUAAUGUUUGGUUUUCUUGGAGUAAGUUGCUUCUACCUAUAAAAUGAACACACAUGUAUGUGAGAUUCCUUGAGAAUCAUUUUUGCUAGGGAGAUUCUUUCAGCAUUCUAUCAGUAAAUAUAAUAAUGGACAUGUAGGUGAGGUUUCAACGUUUGUGCAAACAUUAGUCAAACACUAGCUUAUUAGUACCCAUUUACAUCGUCUUGUGUCAUUAAGACGGAGCACUAAAACAACAAACAGGUCAGCUCUGGCUGCAUCCUAUGUGAAAACACCCGUGAUUGUAUCACACUAUGAUAAAUAUGAUUUAGAAUGGAUAAAAAAGUGGCAGAAGAGGUCACGUUCAUAGGUUAGCUAAAGAAAAGAAGAUAGUGUUGUCUUUGUUUCUCAUGUACUUCCUUUCUGUGUCCAUACUCCAUGUUCAUUCUAUUUAUGGUCUGACUAUUGCACUGACCGCAGCGGCCAGGUGCUAAAAUUUGAUCUGUGAUAGUGCUUUAGUGGAAACACGUUGAGGUUCCUUGGGACAAAUCGAGUCAGUUGCCAUCUUUGUUGGCACCACUGUCCGAGAUUAUUCCUAUACCUGUUCUUUAUUUCAUUAGACAUGCCGGCAUGGUAUCAUUUCUGUGUUGAGGAAAAAGGGGUCUAGCCAGCGGGAAAGCAUGUAGAUGGUACAUCAAUAUAAACAUGCGGAUAUAAUUGCCUUUACUGCUAGGUACAACUUUUUGUCCUUACUUGUCCGAUGCUCUAAUAUUGAGUGACAUUGACAUAUUUCUUUUAUCUUCUUUCACUGGUCUACUAAAUUGAGCCUGUCGUAGAUUCUUCGUUGGCUAUCAAUAUGUGCUGCGUCACCAAGUAGGCGACCGAGGAAAUCUCUUGCUGAAUUGAUCAAAUUUAAUCUCUUGCAUGCGACCGUUUGGAGAAACGUCUGGAGAAAAUGAGGAUGAGCUACUGUUCCUAAAAUUAGAACCAAGGUUGCAUCUAUAAAAUUGAUUUGUACUCAUGUUGUGUUAUUGUGUAUGGUUGUUUAUAGCCUUUUCAGUUCAGCUAUUUUGUUUCUUUUAAACAGCUUCUGACACGCAAUGUGUUAUCACCCCUUGUCUGAUUAGGUUACAUUGAUAUGUUUGUAAUAAUUAUGUUCAUGGUGUUGUCCUUUUUUCUUAGCUUAGUAUAUAUGUCAUACAAAACAUUCAUUAAUGCCAAAGGCCAGG